ensembl:lncRNA
GUUUACACACCUCCUGGAUCCUGAUUGGUGUCGCUGCUGCAGCCGCAAGGCACUGAUUGGAUGCUCACAGACCGUAAUACAGCGCAGAUGAAAAUGAUUCAGACUACAGCGUUUAUAUGUUAAACAAUAGGAAACGUAGUCUUAGCUGUUUUAAAAUUACACCAAGUUUAUUUCGGAUUAUUCCAACUGAAGAAUACAAGCCGCAGGGAACUUUGAGGUGCGUAAACGCUAUUUAUAGGUGCGUAAACGCUAUUUCCAAAAUUCCAGAGGUGCGUAAACGGCGUUUACGUGCGUUUACCCUCCACCACAGCCCUGUUGGCUGAUAAGGCCAUGUUGAAAACCAGUGAGGUUAGGGGUUAGGGUUAGGGUUACAAAUGCAGUGCGAUCUAAAAACAAAUACAUACACAUCCACAAACAAAUAUGAAUAUACAUUGUAGCGCAGGGAUCCGUUUCAAGUAGGAGGUUUAACAAACUCUGAGUCAAACCCUAAACUCUGAGUUGAUUUACCCUGAGAUGUGAAACUCUGAGUUUUGGGUUUCUGAACAGCUGUUCAGAGUUGGUUUAAUCAACUCGGAGUAGGUUGACUCAGAGUUGAGCGCGUGCACCACCACAGUAUGAAGGCAGCGUGAAUGGAGCCACGAUACUACGAUUCACCAUGGCAACCACCACAAACAAUCGGUCGGGUACUUGAGCUGGAUGUAUUAAUGCAAGCGUACGCGAGUAUAAACCCGUAAUUAGAAAAAAAGUGACUGCAGCAAAAGACAGAGAAACGGCGUCGGAGAAAAUCCAGAGCGACGCACACGUUUCUCACGGCUCUGCAUACAGCAGCUUUACUGAUAUUAUAAUGUUGUAAAGGAAACUGACGUUUGCAAAAAAAGUAAUACUACACAAAAAAUGUGCUCGUAUGUGAGAGCCUGUCCACGAUGAGGGGCGUUACUUAUAUGAGGACAGGUGAGGUUGUACACAUUUGAUGGACUGACUAAUAAAAACGAUACCAUUCAAACAAGCAGUCACCUGGAAAUAACAAUAUAUCUAAUCGGGCCUCAAUAAUCUCUCCCGAUGUGUUUAACACCCUGCGAAGUAAAACCGCUUCUUCAUCAACAGGAUCGUCCUUUUCUGGACGUGCCAUGUUCAAGAAAACAAUUCAGUCUUUAACGUAACAGAUCUUAUUUUGUUCAUAUGUCUAAAUUGCACUAAAAAUCCGCCUGAUACAGAGUCAUUGAAUGAAUGAGGAAAUGAAAGUGUGCUGUGUGAUUGGCUGGGCUGCUGUCAGAGGGAGGAGACUGCGAAAGAAACUCAAGGUUUAUUGAAGAAAACCUGCUCCCGACCAGGUGAUGUUCACAGGCUCAGUUACCAUGGUGACUGACCCUGAGCUUUAGUUACCAUGGUGACUGAGCCUGAGCUUUUAGUUACCUCCCUUUGUGAAACAGACAAGCCAGAGUUUCCCUCAUCUCAGGGUUAACAAACUCUGAGUUUCCACUAAACCCGCUUCUUGAAACAGACCCCAGCUCUCUAGUAGGACAAUAUGGUAUUAUGAGCUCUUCAAGAAGGUGCCUCACCAGCAAACAGGGCUGUAGUGGAGGGUAAACGGACGUAAACGCCGUUUACGCACCUCUGGAAUUUUGGAAAUAGCGUUUACGCACCUCUAAAUAGCAUUUACGCACCUCAAAGUUCCC